GAUGAACGCUGGCGGCGUGCCUAAUACAUGCAAGUCGAGCGAAAGGACGAGAAGCUUGCUUCUCUGAUGUUAGCGGAGGACGGGUGUGUAACGCGUGGAUAACCUACCUAUAAGACUGGGAUAACUUCGGGAAACCGGAUCUAAUCCCGGAUAAUAUUUUGAACCGCAUUGUUCAAUAGUGAAAGACGGUCUUUCUGGCACGUAUCGCUGGAUCCGCGCUUCAUUAGAUGGUUGGUAAGGUAACGGGUUACCACGGCGACGAUGCAUAGCCGACCUGAGAGGGGGAUCGGCCACCCUGGAAGUGAGACACGGACAAUAGUCCUACGAGAGGGAGCAGAAGGGAACCUGCCGCAAUGGGCGAGAGUCUGACGGAGCAACGCGGAGUGAGUGACGACGGUCUUGGGAGCGUAAUGAUCGGUUAUUAGGGAAGAACAGAUGUGUAAGUAACUGUGCACAUCUUGACGGUACCGAAUCAGAAAGCCACGGCUAACUACGUG
rnacentral:rRNA from 1 species